GACGAACGCUGGCGGCGUGCUUAACACAUGCAAGUCGAACGGAAAGGCCCUGCUUUUGUGGGGUGCUCGAGUGGCGAACGGGUGAGUAACACGUGAGUAACCUGCCCUUGACUUUGGGAUAACUUCAGGAAACUGGGGCUAAUACCGGAUAGGAGCUCCUGCUGCAUGGUGGGGGUUGGAAAGUUUCGGCGGUUGGGGCUGGACUCGCGGCUUAUCAGCUUGUUGGUGGGGUAGUGGCUUACCAAGGCUUUGACGGGUAGCCGGCCUGAGAGGGUGACCGGCGACAUUGGGCCUGAGAGACGGCCCAGACUCCUACGGGAGGCAGUAGUGGGGAAUAUUGCACAAUGGGGGGAAGCCUGAUGCAGCAACGCUGCGUGCGGGAUGACGGCCUUCGGGUUGUAAACCGCUUUCGCCUGUGACGAAGAGUGAGUGACGGUAAUGGGUAAAGAAGCACCGGCUAACUACGUG
rnacentral:rRNA from 1 species